rnacentral:rRNA from 1 species
UCGCCUGUUUACCAAAAACAUCGCUCUUUGGAAAGAAAACUAACAUAUAAAGAGUCCUGCCUGCCCAGUGACAAUAAGUUAAACGGCCGCGGUAUUUUGACCGUGCAAAGGUAGCAUAAUCAUUUGCCUUUUAAAUGGAGGCUGGUAUGAAUGGCAAGACGGAAGUUUAGCUGUCUCUCUUUUAAGAUCUUGAAUUUAUCAUCUUCGUGAAGAGGCGGAGAUAAGAUCGCAGGACGAGAAGACCCUAUCGAGCUUUAGUUACAAGUCAAGAUUAAGAUUUUCUUGUUUUUAAGCUAAUUAAGAAAAAGUUGGUUCUAUUUAAGAAUAAGAAUUAUUAUUUGAUGAGGUGCUUUGGUUGGGGCAACCACGGAGAAAAUUCACCCUCCGUUAACAAAUUAAAGAAAAAUUUAUUAUUUUGGAAGCUUAGGGCAAAAAAAUGAUCCACUAAAAAGUGAUCAAAGGAACAAGUUACCGUAGGGAUAACAGCGUAAUUUUUUUGGAGAGUUCAUAUUGAUAAGAAAGUUUGCGACCUCGAUGUUGGAUCGGGACUUCCAGGAGAUGCAGCAGUUCCAAGG